rnacentral:rRNA from 1 species
CCUACGGGAGGCAGCCGUGAGGAAUAUUGGUCAAUGGGCGAGAGCCUGAACCAGCCAAGUCGCGUGAGGGAGUACUGCCCUAUGGGUUGUAAACCUCUUUUGUCGGGGAGCAAAAGCCGGACGUGUCCGGCUGUGAGAGUACCCGAAGAAAAAGCAUAGUCUAACUCCGUGCCAGAAGCUGCGGUAAUACGGAAGAUGCGAGCGUUAUCCGGAUUUAUGGGGGUUAAAGGGUGCGCAGGCGGAUUUUUAAGUCAGCGGUCAAAUCGUGGGGCUCAACCCCAUCCAGCCGUUGAAACUGGGGAUCUAGAGGGUGCGAGAGGUAUGCGGAAUGCGUGGUGUAGCGGUGAAAUGUAUAGAUAUCACGCAGAACCCCGAUUGCGAAGGCAGCAUACCGGUGCACAACUGACGCUCAGGCACGAAAGCGUGGGUAGCGAACAGGAUUAGAUACCCCUGUAGUC